CUGCCGGGCAGCGCCUAACACUAUGCAAGUCGAAACGGGAUCUUUCGGAUCUAGUUGGCGGACGGGUUAGUAUACGUGGGAACGUACCUUUUCUACGGAAUAGCCUCGUGGAAACUGAGAGUAAUACCGUAUACGCCCUUCGGGGGAAAGAUUUAUCGGAGAAUGAUCGGCCCGCGUAAAGAUAGAUAGUUGGUGGGGUAAUGGCCUACCAAGUCUACGAUCUUUAGCUGGUUUGAGAAGGAUGAUCAGCAACACUUGGGACUGACGACAACUGGGCCAGACUCCUACCGGGAGUGCCAGCAGUUGGGGAAUCUUAGACAAUGGGGGAAAACCCUUGAUCUAGCCAUGCCGCGUGAGUGACGAAGUGCCUUAUGGUCGUAAAGCUCUUUCGCUGGGGAACGAUAAUGACUGUAACCCCAGUAAAAGAAAACCCGGCUAACUCCGUGCAUGACAGCCGCGGUAAUACGGGAGGGGGUUAGCGUUGUUCGGAAUUAACUGGGCGUAAAGCGCGC
rnacentral:rRNA from 1 species